rnacentral:rRNA from 2 species
CAUGCCAAUGGCACUGCCCGGUAGCUAAAUGCGGAAGAGAUAAGUGCUGAAAGCAUCUAAGCACGAAACUUGCCCCGAGAUGAGUUCUCCCUGAGACUUUAAGUCUCCUGAAGGAACGUUAAAGACGAUGACGUUGAUAGGCCGGGUGUGUAAGCGCAGCGAUGCGUUGAGCUAACCGGUACUAAUGAACCGUGAGGCUUAACCUU